ACCUGGUUGGCUUAGCUGGUGGAGCAUGCGACUCUUGAUCUCAGGAUUGUGGGUUCAAGACCCACAAUAAAUG
rnacentral:tRNA from 1 species